UACGUAGGGUGCGAGCGUUGUCCGGAAUUAUUGGGCGUAAAGAGCUCGUAGGCGGUCUGUCGCGUCGGUCGUGAAAACUUGGGGCUUAACCCUGAGCUUGCGGUCGAUACGGGCAUGUCUGGAGUUCGGUAGGGGAGACUGGAAUUCCUGGUGUAGCGGUGAAAUGCGCAGAUAUCAGGAGGAACACCGGUGGCGAAGGCGGGUCUCUGGGCCGAUACUGACGCUGAGGAGCGAAAGCGUGGGGAGCAAACAGG
rnacentral:rRNA from 1 species